AGGAACCCCCCUGCCACGAACCCUUCAGUCGACAUCAAUGAUCAACAUUCUGUCAUUCUUCUGAGAAAUCAAUCUUAUGAUCAUCCUUUUCAUGUAGAUUUCCUCCUAGGCACUUUUGUCUGAACCACGUGGCACAAAUUGGCAGAGAACAAGGAAAAGAAGAACAGAGGAAGGAGAAAAGGAGAAAAGUCAUUCUGCUGAAAACGAGCUGACUGAGUUGGCUUGGCUGUACAUAGGAGGAAGACCCUGAUCCCUGGUGCUCAACACAGAAAUGCUUCAAUGAUACCCUGAGAUUGUUUUACCUUGCAACACUCUCUGGAAAAUUGCUGCUCCAGGAAUGCGAUGAAAAGAUCUGUAAGAGAGCACAGCCCCUGUUGAUUGACUUGUCUUGAUCAAACCAGAGCUUCUGGCUGGGAUACUGGUAUCUUGAGUGAGUCACAGCAGGAGAUACGUGCUGGAGCUGAAGAGGUUGGAGAGGCAGCAGAAAAGGUCUUACUUAGUCACCCAGGCUGAAGGGCAGUGGCAUGAUCAUGGCUCACUUCAGCCUCAACCUCCUUGCCUCAAGAGAUCCUCCCACCUAAGUCUCCCAACGGGGACUACAGUUGGAUAUCAC
rnacentral:lncRNA from 10 species